rnacentral:rRNA from 1 species
UACGGGGGGGGCAAGCGUUGUUCGGAACUACUGGGCGUAAAGGGUUUGUAGGUGGUCUGUUAAGUCAGACGUGAAAUCCCUCAGCUUAACUGGGGAACUGCGUCUGAGACUGAUGGACUUGAGGGCAGGAGAGGAACGCGGAAUUCCAGGUGUAGCGGUGAAAUGCGUAGAUAUCUGGAGGAACACCUAUGGCGAAGGCAGCUCGCUGGGACGUUACUGACGCUGAGACGCGAAAGCGUGGGGAGCAAACAGG